rnacentral:misc_RNA from 1 species
AACGCACAUUGCGCCCUUUGGUAUUCCGAAGGGCAUGCCUGUUCGAGCGUCAUUAUCACCUCUCAAGCCUGGCUUGUUGUUGGACUUCAGGUCUGGGCUCGCCCCGACCGGUCCCAAAAGUAAUGACGGCGUCCGUGGGACUCUCGGUGCAACGAGCUUUCUUAAGCACGCACAGAGUCGAAAGGUCCCCCGGCACGGUCUUUUAACCAUUCUUCUAAGGUUGACCUCGGAUCAGGUAGGAAUACCCGCUGAACUUAA